GACGAACGCUGGCGGCGUGCUUAACACAUGCAAGUCGAACGGAAAGGCCCCGCUUUUGUGGGGUGCUCGAGUGGCGAACGGGUGAGUAACACGUGAGUAACCUGCCCUUGACUUUGGGAUAACUUCAGGAAACUGGGGCUAAUACCGGAUAGGAGCUCCUGCUGCAUGGUGGGGGUUGGAAAGUUUCGGCGGUUGGGGAUGGACUCGCGGCUUAUCAGCUUGUUGGUGGGGUAGUGGCUUACCAAGGCUUUGACGGGUAGCCGGCCUGAGAGGGUGACCGGCCACAUUGGGACUGAGAUACGGCCCAGACUCCUACGGGAGGUAGCAGUGGGGAAUAUUGCACAAUGGGCGGAAGCCUGAUGCAGCAACGCCGCGUGCGGGAUGACGGCCUUCGGGUUGUAAACCGCUUUCGCCUGUGACGAAGCGUGAGUGACGGUAAUGGGUAAAGAAGCACCGGCUAACUACGUG
rnacentral:rRNA from 1 species